CCUGACUGCUAUCGGAUCGAUACUAAGCCAUGCGAGUCUUUGCAGUAAUACAAGGCAGACGGCUCAGUAACGCGUAGUCAACCUACCCUAUGGACGGGAAUAAUCUCGGGAAACUGAGCAUAAUACCCGGCGUACCACCAUUCCUGGAAUGGUUGGUGGUUAAAAUGAUUCGUCGCCGUAGGAUGGGACUGCGACCUAUCAGCUUGUUGGUGGGGUAAAGGCCUACCAAGGCGAUUACAGGUACGGGCUCUGAGAGGAGAAGCCCGGAGAUGGGUACUGAGACAAGGACCCAGGCCCUAUGGGGCGCAGCAGGCGAGAAAACUUUGCAAUGUGCGAAAGCACGACAAGGUUAAUCCGAGUGAUUUCUGCUAAAGAAAUCUUUUGCAAGUCAUAAAACCACUAGUGAAUAAGGGGUGGGCAAGUUCUGGUGUCAGCCGCCGCGGUAAAACCAGCACCUCAAGUGGUCAGGAGGAUUAUUGGGCCUAAAGCAUCCGUAGCCGGCUCUGUAAGUUUUCGGUUAAAUCCAUGUGCUCAACACAUGGGCUGCCGAAAAUACUGCAUAGCUAGGGAGUGGGAGAGGUAGACGGUACUCGGUAGGAAGGGGUAAAAUCCUUUGAUCUAUCGAUGACCACCUGUGGCGAAGGCGGUCUACCAGAACACGUUCGACGGUGAGGGAUGAAAGCUGGGGGAGCAAACCGGAUUAGAUACCCGGGUAGUCCCAGCUGUAAACGAUGCAGACUCGAUGAUGCAUUGGCAUAUAGCCAGUGCAGUGUCGCAGGGAAGCCGUUAAGUCUGCCGCCUGGGAAGUACGUACGCAAGUAUGAAACUUAAAGGAAUUGGCGGGGGAGCACACAGGAGGGGUGAAGCCUGCGGUUC
rnacentral:rRNA from 1 species